AGAGUUUGAUCAUGGCUCAGAUUGAACGCUGGCGGCAUGCUUAAUACAUGCAAGUCGAACGGUAACAGAUUCUUCGGAAUGCUGACGAGUGGCGGACGGGUGAGUAAUACAUAGGAAUCUGCCCAUGUAGUGGGGGACAACUUGGGGAAACUCAAGCUAAUACCGCAUAAUUCCUACGGGAUAAAGAGGGCCACUGCUUGCAAGCUCUUGCUACUGGAUGAGCCUAUGUCGGAUUAGUUAGUUGGUAAGGUAAUGGCUUACCAAGACAGCGAUCCGUAGCUGGUUUGAGAGGAUGAUCAGCCACACUGGGACUGAGACACGGCCCAGACUCCUACGGGAGGCAGCAGUAGGGAGUAUUGGACAAUGGGCGCAAGCCUGAUCCAGCAAUGCCGCGUGUGUGAAGAAGGCCUGCGGGUUGUAAAGCACUUUCAAUUGGGAAGAAAGAUUAUGAGUUAAUACCUUAUAAUAUCGACG
rnacentral:rRNA from 1 species